rnacentral:tRNA from 1 species
UGCCGAAUUGUGUAAGGGUAGCACACCGGUUUCUGGCACCGUUUGUCUGGGUUCAAAUCCUAGUUCGGCAGCCA